rnacentral:rRNA from 1 species
UACGUAGGGGUGCAAGCGUUAAUCGGAAUUACUGGGCGUAAAGCGUGCGCAGGCGGUUGUGCAAGACAGAUGUGAAAUCCCCGGGCUCAACCUGGGAAUUGCAUUUGUGACUGUACGGCUAGAGUGUGUCAGAGGGGGGUAGAAUUCCACGUGUAGCAGUGAAAUGCGUAGAGAUGUGGAGGAAUACCGAUGGCGAAGGCAGCCCCCUGGGAUAACACUGACGCUCAUGCACGAAAGCGUGGGGAGCAAACAGGAUAGAUA